AUCUAGCCAUGGGCAGGUUGAAGGUUGGGUAACACUAACUGGAGGACCGAACCGACUAAUGUUGAAAAAUUAGCGGAUGACCUGUGGCUGGGGGUGAAAGGCCAAUCAAACCGGGAGAUAGCUGGUUCUCCCCGAAAGCUAUUUAGGUAGCGCCUCGUGAACUCAUCUUCGGGGGUAGAGCACUGUUUCGGCUAGGGGGCCAUCCCGGCUUACCAACCCGAUGCAAACUACGAAUACCGAAGAAUGUUAUCACGGGAGACACACGGCGGGUGCUAACGUCCGUCGUGAAGAGGGAAACAACCCAGACCGCCAGCUAAGGUCCCAAAGUCAUGGUUAAGUGGGAAACGAUGUGGGAAGGCACAGACAGCCAGGAUGUUGGCUUAGAAGCAGCCAUCAUUUAAAGAAAGCGUAAUAGCUCACUGGUCGAGUCGGCCUGCGCGGAAGAUGUAACGGGGCUAAACCAUG
rnacentral:rRNA from 1 species